UGGGGCGAUAGCUCAGUUGGUAGAGUGCUUGCCUAGCAAGCAAAACGCCCUGGGUUCGAUCCCCAGCACCACAA